rnacentral:rRNA from 1 species
GAUGAACGCUGGCGGCGUGCCUAAUACAUGCAAGUCGAGCGAACGGACGAGAAGCUUGCUUCUCUGAUGUUAGCGGCGGACGGGUGAGUAACACGUGGAUAACCUACCUAUAAGACUGGGAUAACUUCGGGAAACCGGAGCUAAUACCGGAUAAUAUUUUGAACCGCAUGGUUCAAAAGUGAAAGACGGUCUUGCUGUCACUUAUAGAUGGAUCCGCGCUGCAUUAGCUAGUUGGUAAGGUAACGGCUUACCAAGGCAACGAUGCAUAGCCGACCUGAGAGGGUGAUCGGCCACACUGGAACUGAGACACGGUCCAGACUCCUACGGGAGGCAGCAGUAGGGAAUCUUCCGCAAUGGGCGAAAGCCUGACGGAGCAACGCCGCGUGAGUGAUGAAGGUCUUCGGAUCGUAAAACUCUGUUAUUAGGGAAGAACAUAUGUGUAAGUAACUGUGCACAUCUUGACGGUACCUAAUCAGAAAGCCACGGCUAACUACGUGCCAGCAGCCGCGGUAAUACGUAGGUGGCAAGCGUUAUCCGGAAUUAUUGGGCGUAAAGCGCGCGUAGGCGGUUUUUUAAGUCUGAUGUGAAAGCCCACGGCUCAACCGUGGAGGGUCAUUGGAAACUGGAAAACUUGAGUGCAGAAGAGGAAAGUGGAAUUCCAUGUGUAGCGGUGAAAUGCGCAGAGAUAUGGAGGAACACCAGUGGCGAAGGCGACUUUCUGGUCUGUAACUGACGCUGAUGUGCGAAAGCGUGGGGAUCAAACAGGAUUAGAUACCCUGGUAGUCCACGCCGUAAACGAUGAGUGCUAAGUGUUAGGGGGUUUCCGCCCCUUAGUGCUGCAGCUAACGCAUUAAGCACUCCGCCUGGGGAGUACGACCGCAAGGUUGAAACUCAAAGGAAUUGACGGGGACCCGCACAAGCGGUGGAGCAUGUGGUUUAAUUCGAAGCAACGCGAAGAACCUUACCAAAUCUUGACAUCCUUUGACAACUCUAGAGAUAGAGCCUUCCCCUUCGGGGGACAAAGUGACAGGCGGUGCAUGGUUGUCGUCAGCUCGUGUCGUGAGAUGUUGGGUUAAGUCCCGCAACGAGCGCAACCCUUAAGCUUAGUUGCCAUCAUUAAGUUGGGCACUCUAAGUUGACUGCCGGUGACAAACCGGAGGAAGGUGGGGAUGACGUCAAAUCAUCAUGCCCCUUAUGAUUUGGGCUACACACGUGCUACAAUGGACAAUACAAAGGGCAGCGAAACCGUGAGGUCAAGCAAAUCCCAUAAAGUUGUUCUCAGUUCGGAUUGUAGUCUGCAACUCGACUACAUGAAGCUGGAAUCGCUAGUAAUCGUAGAUCAGCAUGCUACGGUGAAUACGUUCCCGGGUCU